rnacentral:rRNA from 1 species
GAAUCUUGCGCAAUGGCCGAGAGGCUGACGCAGCGACGCCGCGUGGGGGAGGAAGGUCUUCGGAUCGUAAACCCCUGUCAGGAGGGACGAAUAGCCCGGGGAGGCAAUGCCCCGUGGAAUGACGGUACCUCCAGAGGAAGCACCGGCUAACUCCGUGCCCGCAGCCGCGGUAAUACGGAGGGUGCGAGCGUUGUUCGGAAUUAUUGGGCGUAAAGCGCGCGCAGGCGGCCUGGGAAGUCUAUGGGUGAAAUGCCGGGGCUCAACUCCGUGUAUGCCCAGGAUACUCUCAGGCUGGAGACACGUAGAGGCAAGCGGAAUUCCGGGUGUAGCGGUGGAAUGCGUAGAGAUCCGGAAGAACACCGGAGGCGAAGGCGGCUUGCUGGGCGUGAUCUGACGCUGAGGCGCGAAAGCGUGGGGAGCGAACAG